GCCGGGGUGGUGGAAUUGGUAGACACGCAACCUUCAGGAGGUUGUACCCUCGUGGUGUGUGGGUUCGAAUCCCACCCCCGGCACCU
rnacentral:tRNA from 1 species